GAGUUUGAUCGUGGCUCAGAUUGAACGCUGGCGGCAGGCCUAACACAUGCAAGUCGAGCGGUAGAGAGAAGCUUGCUUCUCUUGAGAGCGGCGGACGGGUGAGUAAUGCCUAGGAAUCUGCCUGGUAGUGGGGGAUAACGCUCGGAAACGGACGCUAAUACCGCAUACGUCCUACGGGAGAAAGCAGGGGACCUUCGGGCCUUGCGCUAUCAGAUGAGCCUAGGUCGGAUUAGCUAGUUGGUGAGGUAAUGGCUCACCAAGGCGACGAUCCGUAACUGGUCUGAGAGGAUGAUCAGUCACACUGGAACUGAGACACGGUCCAGACUCCUACGGAGGCAGCAGUGGGGAAUAUUGGACAAUGGGCGAAAGCCUGAUCCAGCCAUGCCGCGUGUGUGAAGAAGGUCUUCGGAUUGUAAAGCACUUUAAGUUGGGUAGGAAGGGCGAAGGUAAAUU
rnacentral:rRNA from 1 species